rnacentral:rRNA from 1 species
UGAGGAAUAUUGGUCAAUGGGCGCAAGCCUGAACCAGCCAUGCCGCGUGAAGGACGAAGGCGUUCUGCGUUGUAAACUUCUUUUAUCUGGGAAGAAACCUACGAUUUCUAUUGUAGCCGACGGUACCAGAUGAAUAAGCACCGGCUAACUCCGUGCCAGCAGCCGCGGUAAUACGGAGGGUGCAAGCGUUAUCCGGAUUUACUGGGUUUAAAGGGUGUGUAGGCGGGCUUGUAAGUCAGGGGUGAAAUCCUACAGCUUAACUGUAGAACUGCCUUUGAUACUAUAAGUCUUGAAUAUUGUUGAGGUGGGCGGAAUACAUCAUGUAGCGGUGAAAUGCUUAGAUAUGAUGUAGAACACCGAUUGCGAAGGCAGCUCACUAAGCAAAUAUUGACGCUGAGGCACGAAAGCGUGGGGAUCAAACAGG